rnacentral:rRNA from 1 species
AUUGAACGCUGGCGGCAGGCCUAACACAUGCAAGUCGAACGAGUGGCGGACGGGUGAGUAAUGUCUGGGAAACUGCCUGAUGGAGGGGGAUAACUACUGGAAACGGUAGCUAAUACCGCAUACCAUUAGAUGUUCCCAGGUGGGAUUAGCUAGUUGGUGGGGUAACGGCUCACCAAGGAGACGAUCCCUAGCGCGUCUGAGAGGAUGAACGGCCACACUGGAACUGAGACACGGUCCAGACUCCUACGGGAGGCAGCAGUGGGGAAUAUUGCACAAUGGGCGCAAGCCUGACGCAGCAAUGCCGCGUGUAUGAUGAAGGCCUUCGGGUUGUAAAGUACUUUCAGCGGGGAGGCGUUACCCGCAGAGAAAGCCCCGGCUAACUCCGUGCCAGCCGCCGCGGUAAUUC